GAAGGAAGAAAAUGAGGAGCCCAACCCAACGAAGCCCAGCUUCAGGAGGCCGUGUACUUGGACUCUUGGUUCUGCUAGAACCCUAAACCCUCGCGCCGUGAGCUUCCGAGUCCUUAACCUCCUCCGGAUCCACUUCACAUCUUCUUCUUCUUCUUCAAUGGCUUCAACCUGCAACAGAAUCUUCAGCAGAGCAUCCGUAUCGUCCAUCAAAUCCGCCAUCAAAUCCAACAUCCGUACAUCUCCCCUCGCCAAAUCCGCCACUCCCACCUCUCCGCGCUUCCCUCUCCCCUCCACGUCUACUUCCCCUCCUCGUCGCCGAUUCUCACUCUCCAGGUCUCCAGCGGAACUGGGAAGCGUUCAGUCGAUCUUGCCGCUGCACAGCGCGGUGGCGGCGGCUCGAAUGACGUCGUGCCUAAGCACAUCAUCGAGGAAUUGUCGAGCGCUCUCGCAGGGUACACUCUGCUGCACCUCUCCAGACCUCUAAUAUCAUGCACAUAAUAUGAGUGUCGUUGAAAGAAAUAAAAUGGGAAUUUGCGGGACCUGCCAAUUAUCAAAUGGAAUUGAUGGUACGUGAGACAUAUGUGCUAUACUUGGAGAGCUUGGUCUGUCGGUUCCAAGGUGACAUUAUAGCAGUCCACCAUGGCGAGAGGUUAUCUAUCUUCACAAGAAUGGAAAAUCUUGCACCAAGAUCAUUGUGGCUUUUGUUUUUGAACUUCAGUCAUUUUAGAAGAGAUACUGCUUGAACCUUGAAAGCAAGGAAACUGAUUUUGGUAUUUCCCACCAUAGAGAUAUUUGUUCACUAACUAUUCAUGUAUGUUUAAUUGCCAAAGGCAGAUACCAAUAAGUCAGUAGACAAGAUGAUUAAGAAAAAAACAGAUGCAAUAUGUGGAUCAUGCACUUGUGAAAUUGUUUAUUGUACCCAGAUGGAAUUUGAUUUUGAUUCUUCCCAUCAGAGAUAUUUACAAGUAUUAUUCAUAUAUCUUCAAUU